AUGAAGAGCAGCGCGCGCUCGCCGCCGUACUGUACCCAGACGCCAACAUAUGCUUUAAGGGACACGCUGUCGCUCUCGAUUUCUCCCCUCAUUCUCCCUGGCUUUCUCUUUAAACAGGAUCUUCUUGUACCGCUCUCUCUGUACAGACGCCGGGAUUAUAUUUCGCGCCUGCACCUCCGGUGCGGCAGCGGCGAAGGAGAACGUGGCAGGAAGGCGUUCGCACGACAAAAGCGCUGGCAAAUUGUUUUGUGGAGCCACAAUGCCGGUGGCGCCGCCGCCAAACGCUCGUUGUGUUCCUGUUUACCCAACGUCAUUUCGUUAUUUACAUUACCACACGGAGCCGUGCCUCCCCAUCGUUGGAUGCUGCAGGCGCUGACUUGCAGUUUUUAUCCCUUUGUUAUUGUUUCGGCAUUGUGCGUCCCCGUUUGUGUUACCGUGGCUGUUCGGUGUGGACAAUGCGCAUGCGAAGCCGCUCGUCCCAUUGUGCCACCUGUCAUUGGAUAUGAGCCUUCUUCCCGGCGAGAGCGCGGAGGAACGGGUCGGAGGACGGCGGAUGAUGGCGGCGCGCGUUUUUGGAGGGAAAAACGCCCCCCCGGCCUCAUUUCCAGGCGUCGGCGUGAGGCCGCAGAGAUCGCGACCCCAAAACCACCUGCCCAGCGACGGGAGUCUUGAGGCUAAAAACGGAGGCUGUGCAGCUGAUCUCCAAGGUCGACCACUCCCCCCUGAUCUGGAGUCUGGAUUCAGGAGCUUCAAGGCGCUCACAGGAUCUCUAGCUUCACCUUCAACACUCGAUGCUCUUCACCACAUCCAGAAAAGAGUUCUGUAAUUCCUACAGGCACCAAUAAGCGCUGAUGUGUUUAUUUAUUUAUUUAUUCAUUUUUUAAUGUGAGAGAACUUCCAAACAUUUAAACUUGCCUCCCUUUGAUGUGAUUAUUUGACAAGUAUAUUGUCCGUGACAGCUGAAUAAAGGCAACUUCUUUCCUUUAAGUGAUGUUUUA
rnacentral:lncRNA from 1 species